GCCGCUGCCGCUUCCCUGCCAGCCGGGGAUGUUGCCAGCAGUGGGCAGGGGCAUUGGGGGGAGGCAUACCCGGCUUCAUCCCGCCGGGUAGGAGCUGGAGGAGGGGUAACUGCCUCUCCCCGGGUGGCAGAUGACCCACAAUUGUGUACAGCCCCUCAGGUGUGAGCUGAACCACAAUUGGGGGCACCUCCUGAGGUGGGAGCUGGCCCACAGUGGGGGGAACCCCCUGAGGUGGGAGCGGGCCCACAGUUUGGGGCAUUGCCCCAGCUGGCAGCUGAAGCACAGUUGGGGGCAUUGCCCCAGCUGGCAGUUGAAGCACAGUUUGAGGCAUCGCCCCAGGUGGCAGCUGCGCUCCCUGUCCCUGCACACCCGGUACCCCCGGCUGGACAGAGGCCUGAGGCACCAUGGAGGUGACAUUGGGGGCAGGGAUGGGCUGGAAGGAUACGGGCACUGCUCCGCCAAUGGUGGUCUGCAUCGCAGCAGUGGCCGGUGGGGGCACAAAGGCUCCAAAUAAAAUGGCGUCAGGUGUCGGAAGCACCGUCAGCGAUGAAGGAAUUCUCUCUGUGGGGAAAUGCCCAAAUGGGCGCCGGGGUGAGAUGUGGGGCACUGGGACCCCCUGGAGGGCCGCAGUGCCAGGAGCAGGAGGAGCCUGCUGCCUUACCUGCCGUGGCAGCUCGAGAGUGGCAGUGGGGGGUUCCGUGAGCGCUGGGGUCAGCCCCUCUGCCCUGAGCUCACAGUGCCCCUCUGUGACGCUGUCCCGUGGUGUCACAGGCACUGCUCUGUGCCUGCCAUGUCAUCAACUUGCUGUGCCUGCCAUCGUGGUGAUAGCCUCCCACUGUUUCAAGGGAGAUGAUAAACAGGAGGAAAAUGAACUUUUCUUGUGGGGAGAUGGGACAAAGGGGAAUGGUUUUAAUGUAAAGGAGGGGGAUUUGGGUUAGAUGUGGGGGAAGGUGUUCACAGAGGGAGCUGAGGCCCUGCACUGCUGCCCAGAGAGGCCGUGUGUGCCCCAUCCCUGCGGGUGCACCCAACCCAGCUCCCAUUGCAGUGAAUGGAGACGAAGGGAGGGACGUGGCUGAUGACCGUCAAAGUCCCGGUGGCAUCCCAGGGCUGCGGUGCUUUGAGCCUGGAAAGCCACCAAACGUCCACCUGCCCGCUGUGUCCCUUCACACACCCGUCUGUCACAGCAGCACAGGGGCUGGGAGGGAUCUCUGGGAGGUCCUCCAGAGGUUUUCCCGCCCCUCGCCGCCAGGGGGCGCUGCGGUCGCAGCCAUCCCCGCUCCUUCCUGAUGACGUCACGCAGACGGUAGCCGCGCCAGG
ensembl:lncRNA